ACUUUAAACAGAGCAUUAGAUUGUUCUAAUUUCUAUUUAUAUAGUUUAACAAAACAUUACAUUUUCAUUGUAAAAUUAAAUUCCUUUUAUAA
rnacentral:tRNA from 2 species